rnacentral:lncRNA from 1 species
AGAACAGGAGAGUGAAUCUUGGGGACCGAAGGGAAAAAGGAGCCACUCAGCAGCAUGCAGUGGCUUUGGGGAGACAGAGGAAAGGAGAGAUUGCGAGUGGCAGAAUUGUUUGGAAGGUUUUUAUUUUGGAAAAGCUGUGCAGAAAAAAAUUCAAGAAAAUGUUGCUGUGAAAAGAGAAAAACAAAUCUUAAGCAUUAAAAAAAAUUCAACCAACUAGCUCAGAAGAGGGGAGAAGGCCAAGGUUGAGAGAAGAGUCACAGCCUGUCAGGCAGAUAGCUGGCCUCCGGCGGGAAGGCCAUUUCCCUGAGCACUUGCAGAGGAAGACAGGGUGGUGGCAGGACUGGAGUGGCAGUGGCUCCCAAGGCUCUCUCCUCCAACAUGUGCAUCUGCCAUCUGCUCUGCAGUCCUGCCGCAGGAUUCCCUAGUGAAGCAGCUCAGGCCUGGGGGAGCCGUGUGUAUCCCAGCUGUGCCGGCAGCAUCAUACCAAUCGUGGGGGUGGUGAAGGAGCCAGGGGUUCAUUCAUGGUUGGUUUCUGAUCAGGCAUCUUGGGAAUGGAUAAUGGAGGCAGCCGCUUUCAGGACAGGCAUGUCCAGGGGCUCCUCCCAGCCUCUACCCCGAAGUCCUCUUCCCAAGUGACCCCAGUGAUGUUUCCAUUGAGAUGCGCUCCUGGCUAUGGCAGGCACCUUCUCAACUUAUAUGUGGGAAGGGGUCCCCCAUGCUUGGGGGACCUAGGCAGCUGGCUUGGCCCAAGAGAGAUGAGGAUGGAGGCCAAACCAAAGGGGGGCGCCAAUCCCCUGUCCAACACCUUCUCACCAAAAGCUCCCGUUUGGCUGGAGGCAGACCCUGUGGCUCUGACCAGACUUCUCUGGCAGCAAUCCUCCACCAUUUGUAUCUUAAGAAGGCCCUCACCCUCUUUGAGUGGAGUCAGAGGAUGCCUCAGAUUCCAGAUGUAAGCAUCAGAACUGCUUUCUGUCAAGAGCUCCCUAAUUUUGGGAAAGAAGAGCCUGUCCCACACUGUCAGGCCCUGAGGUCAGCAGAUCUGCUCCUCCUUCCCGUGCGGUACGUCUAGGUGCUGAUGAGGGCAGUCCAGGGCGCUCUUGUUCUGGGACAGGCUCCAGUCCCCUUGCUCCAGCAGGUCUGGGGCAAGGAGGUCAGAGGUGGUGGGAGGGCCCCUGCUCUCUGUUUCCACUUCGUCUGGAUCCUUGCUGCUGCAAAGUGGCACUGAUUCUAGCUCUGUCCCUUCCUCCUUGGCUUUCCGGCUCCGAUGGGGCCAGUGGCAGGGUCCACUCCUACAAACUUGAUUGGAAGCCACAUUCCUCUGGCUCAAAUAUACUUCCAGCAUGUAGUAAACAGUCCAGAAGACGGUGAAACAGCCUACCAGCACCAGGGUCUUGAGGGUGUUGGGGGUGAUGGUGUAACCAUCUUCCUCAGGAAUUUUCAGCCCCGGUGGGCAGGGCAGGGCGAAGUCAUCGUGCAGGUAUUUUCCACUCAUGGCACUCUCUAACAGCCUUUGUCUGUCCCUGAUGUCUACUGCACUCCACACAGAGCCAUAUAGGGUCAGCUGCCAUUGCCGGAGGAUGCCGACCUGGAAUGACUCAUCCCCUAGGGCAGCAAGGGGCAGCUCGUGAGCCACGCCCCUCUGUCAGCCAUGCCAGACAGCAGAGGCCCUGCCCGCCCUGCCACCCAAAGGGGCUCAGGCCACAUGGUCUGCUCCAGGAGCUGCCUCACUGUGUCCCACUGACCCCAGGUUCUGCAGAAGGGCCUCACUGGGUGCCCUUAGGGAUGGAAAGGGUUGAAAGGCUGUACUCCAAAGCAGAGUCUUGCUUUUCUCUCCCGUAUUUUGGGGGUUCAGCUGGGAUUAGAAAAAAAUGUCUUUCCACCAAAUUAAAGAAAGCUUUGAAAAC